rnacentral:rRNA from 1 species
UACGUAGGGUGCAAGCGUUGUCCGGAAUUAUUGGGCGUAAAGAGCUUGUAGGCGGUUUGUCGCGUCUGCUGUGAAAUUUCGGGGCUCAACCCCGAACUUGCAGUGGGUACGGGCAGACUAGAGUGUGGUAGGGGAGACUGGAAUUCCUGGUGUAGCGGUGGAAUGCGCAGAUAUCAGGAGGAACACCAAUGGCGAAGGCAGCUCGCUGGGACGGUACUGACGCUGAGGCGCGAAAGCGUGGGGAGCAAACAGG